GCGAGUGUGCAAGGGAAGACGUCCAUGGGAUCUAUGGACUGUUGGCCAUGCAAUCCCAUUAAGCUGCUCCUUUGUACCCCACCAUCAGCAGCCCAAACCCAAUAGCAAACAAUAGACUGGGGUCUGGGGGGUUUGUUGGUGCACAUAAGUGUGCAAGAUGAUGUGCAGGGUGAGUGUGCCAGGAGACAUCUCAUGGGAUCUAUGGACUGUGAGCCAUUGAGCUGUAGCUCCUUCAUAGCCCAUGAUCAGCAGCCCAAACCCAAUGGCAAAGGAUAGAGCGGGGUCUGGGGGGUUGUUGGUGCACAUAAGUGUGCAAGGUGAGUGUGCAAGGGAAGACGUCCAUGGGCACUCUUAACCAUGCAGCCCCAUUAGCAGCCCCUUUUAACUCCAUGGUUUGCAUCCCAAACCAAUGUCAAUGGAUAUACUGGGGUCUGGGGGGCUGUUGGUGCACAUAAGUGUGCAAGAGUGAGUGUGCAGGGUGAGUGUGCAAGGAGACAUCUCCAUGGGAUCUAUGGACUGUGAGCCAUUGAGCUGUAGCUCCUUUGUACCCCACCAUCAUCAUCCCAAACCCAAUGUCAAUGGAUAUACUGGGGUCUGGGGUGUUGUUGGUGCACAUAAGUGUGCAAGGUGAGUGUGCAAGGGAAGAAUGGGGUCUGGGCACACUUAACCAUACAGCCCCAUUAGCAGCUCCUUUGAACCCCACCAUCAUCAUCCCAAACCCAAUGGCAAUGGAUAUACUGGGGUCUGGGGGGGUUGUUGGUGCACAUAAGUGUGCAAGGCGAGUGUGCAAGGUGAGUGUGCAAGGGAAGACAUCCAUGGGGUUGAGAGACUAUGAGCCAUUGAGCUGUAGCUCCUUUGUACCCCACCAUCAUCAUCCCAAACCCAAUGGCAAUGGAUAUACUGGGGUCUAUGGGGGCUGUUGGUGCACAUAAGUGUGCAAGGUGAGUGUGCAAACCCCGUUUCACACCGCAGUUGUGCAGCAGCCUCCCAUUAGCAUCUCCUUUGAACCCCAUGAUCAGCAGCCCAAACCCAAUAGCAACCAAUAGAGCGUGGUCUAUGGGGGCUGUUGGUGCACAUAAGUGUGCAAGGCGAGUGUGCAAGGAGACAUCUUCUAUUGGGUUUGUGAGUCACUCCUAUCCAGGCAGCCCCAUUAGCAGCUCUUUGUAACCCUCCCAUCAGCAGCCCAAACCCAAUGUCAAUGGAUUACUGGGGUUUUGUUGUUGCACAUAAGUGUGCAAGCUGAGUGGGUGCAACCCGUUCCACUCCGGCAGCUUUGUGCAGCAGCCGCUCAGACAAAGGCUCCGGUUGGUCGAGCCGCUCGUUGGGCGCCCGGUGCCGAAACUCCGUCGCGUCGUGUCCCGACGAGCAGCCGCACGUCGGCAACUACAGGUUGUUACGGACUAUAGGGAAGGGGAACUUCGCUAAGGUUAAAUUGGCGCGGCAUGUGCUCACUGGGAAGGAGGUGAGAUAUAGGGGGAUAUGGUGGGGGAUAUGGGGGAUAUGGGGGAUAUGGGGAUUACAUAUGGGGGAUAUGGGGGUAUUAUGGGGCGGUUUUUUCAAAAUAAUGGGGGGUUUUUAAUCUGGGUUAUAUGGGGUUAUUGGGGUAUGUUGGGGGGUUAUUUAUUGGGGGGGGGGUUUUAUUUUAAAAUGGGGGGGAAAAAAAAUUAUAGGGGGGUUAUAUGAGGGUCAUAUGGGGUUUAUAUGGGGUUAUAUGGGGGGAUAUGGGGUAAUAUCAGGGUUAUAUGGGGUAAUAUCAGGGUUAUAUGGGGGGGAUAUGGGGUUAUAUGGGGGGAUAUGGGGGUUAUAUGGGGUUAUACGGGGGAUAUGGGGGGAUAUGGUGGUAAUCAUAAUGUUAUAGGGGGUUAUAAUGGGGGAUAUGGGGAUAUGGGGGGGCACUAUGGGGGUAUAUGGGGUAAUAAUAAUGUUAUGGGG
rnacentral:lncRNA from 1 species